GACGUCGAUAUUCGACGUCAUAAACACGAUUAACUUUGGCGUUUAUGACGUCGAUAUUCGACGUCAUAAACCCAUUCAACUUUGGUGGGAAACUUUGGUUGGAAAAAGAUAAAUUUUUUUUAUAAAAUUCGUCGAUAUUCGACGUCAUAAACACGAUCAACUUUGGUGUUUAUGACGUCGACGUGAUAAACAUGAUCUAUAUUGGCGUUUAUGACGUCGAUAUUCGACGUCAUAAACACAAUCAACUUAGGUGUUUAUGACGUCGAUAUUCGACAGUC
rnacentral:miRNA from 1 species